GAGAUGUAAGGGGCAGGGACUUAAUGGUAGGGAUAGAACUUGUGACUGACAGGAAGGAAAAAACCCCUGCCAAAGCAGAAACUGCAGUCUUGUUUGAGAAACUUAGAGAGCUUGGCAUCUUAGUCGGCAAAGGUGGAAUACAUGGAAAUGUGUACCAUAUCAAACCACCAAUGUGCUUCACCAAAGAUGAUGCAGACUGUCUUGUUGACGCGUUGGACUAUUCAAUGUCAAAGUUGUGAGGAGCUACCUGCCAGAAGCUGAGAUGAAUAUGUAAUUAUUCACAUUUUUUAGCAUCGAUCUCUUCUGAUAGGUUGCUUUCAAUAAUAUCGAGCAAAUAUCUAAC